AGAGAUCUUGAUGCAGACGCCCUUUUGGAUUUCUUUUUAAUAAUGUGUGACCCUUCACCUUUGAUCCCUUGACCUGCAUUACUUUGGUUUGACUUGUCUGCUUUUCAGCUCUUCUAGACAUUGGAAAUUCCAGUUUGUGUUUGUUUUCUCUGGAUUUCUUCCCACAAGACAGAAGUGAAUUCAGCAUGGAUUAUGGGGCAGAGCCUUGGCUGGGAAUAAGGAUAAUUGCAGUCUCUGGCUGUGCCACAGAUUUACUGAUGAUUUCUUUUAAGUUAUUCACCUGCACUGUAUCUGUUUCCUCAGCUGUAAAAUAUGGGUAAUUACCUCCAUUGUAAAAUGUUAUGGGGUCUGCUGGUAAUUAUAUGAAUGAAGUGCUAAUUACAGUGAUUAUUACUUGGA